rnacentral:rRNA from 1 species
AGAGUUUGAUCAUGGCUCAGGAUGAACGCUAGCUACAGGCUUAACACAUGCAAGUCGAGGGGAAACGACAUCGAAAGCUUGCUUUUGAUGGGCGUCGACCGGCGCACGGGUGAGUAACGCGUAUCCAACCUGCCCACCACUUGGGGGAUAAACCUUGCGAAAGUAAGACUAAUACCCAAUGAUAUCUCUAGAAGACAUCUGAAAGAGAUUAAAGAUUUAUCGGUGAUGGAUGGGGAUGCGUCUGAUUAGCUUGUUGGCGGGUAACGCCACAAGGCGACGAUCAGUAGGGGUUCUGAGAGGAAGGUCCCCCANAUUGGAACUGAGACACGAUCCAAACUCCUACGGGAGCA